GGAAUGUGGCUCAAGUGGUAGCGCUCUCGCCUGGCAUGCGUGGGGCACUGGGUUCGAUUCUCAGUACCA
rnacentral:tRNA from 1 species